rnacentral:lncRNA from 1 species
CUCCGUUAAAACAUAUAUAGUAUUGGAAAAAAUUCAAGAAAGACCAAAAAGCAGAAUAAAAAUUAAACAUAAAUACUUAAAAAUAGAAUUUCUAAAAACUAACCUUUUCUCUAAUUACAAAAGCAACAGAAAGGGAACAGGAAGCUAACAUAAAAAGGAAAUUUUAAAACAGGAAACUUAUAGGAAACAAAUAAUUCCAUCCCCUAGCUUUAACCAUUUAACCAUGAAUUCUUAAUCUUUUUGGUGUAGGUGUCCAACUUU